UACGAAGGGGGCUAGCGUUGUUCGGAAUUACUGGGCGUAAAGCGCACGUAGGCGGGUCGUUAAGUCAGGGGGGAAAUCCCGGAGCUCAACUCCGGAACUGCCUUUGAUACUGGCGAUCUAGAGAUCGAGAGAGGUGAGUGGAAUUCCGAGUGUAGAGGUGAAAUUCGUAGAUAUUCGGAAGAACACCAGUGGCGAAGGCGGCUCACUGGCUCGAUACUGACGCUGAGGUGCGAAAGCGUGGGGAGCAAACAGG
rnacentral:rRNA from 1 species